rnacentral:misc_RNA from 1 species
AUGCUGCUUGUAUCACCACCUGCUACUACAGUAGACUCUAUGUCUCUAUCUCCAAUGGCAGUUGCUGGAAGUGAGUUUUGAGAAGCAUGCAUAAGGUUCAAGCUGGUAACUCUUUUAUCUAGCUAGUGCAAUGUUCGUUAAAACAAUUUGAGUUAUUCCAACUUUACUUAAUGUCCCUAAUGGCAACAACAACACCUUGUAUGUUUUGAGACCAUCUAGUUUGCG